UUUCUCUAGACGACUUUUGUUUCUCAGACUAAAAAAAUCUGAAGUUCUCAUUCUCUAUCAAUCUGAAAACUCGACUAAAUUCAAUCUUCAUUCUAAAUCUCGAUGGAAUGCAGAAAAAAAUUUCGUUUUAGUUUUACCAAUGUUUGCAGUGGGUGAUAAAGAAAGAUUCUGUUCAGCCCGAGGAAGACCCAAAACUUCAAAUCACAGUAUUGGAAAGUCACUAAUCCAACUCUUUCUCCUCUCCAUCUUCAUGGUUUAAUCUGUAUCCUUUAUUACUUCUUGCUUUAAUUCUCAGAAUGCCUCCUCAUUAAUAUGUUUGAAAAAGUUUGAUUCUCUUUAAUGAUUAUUUCUCUUAUAAACUUCAGUUCGAAUAAUGAGCAUCUUGUAUCUGCUAGAAUAUACAUCCAUUGAUAACUGCAGAUUACUCAAUGUUUUUCUUACAUUAAACUCCAAUUAGUUGCAUUUUCCAUUUCAUUCAAUUUGAAUUCCUUUUAUAUGUUCUAUUGCAGUUUAUCCCAUGGAUUGAGUAUAUUCCAAGAAGGUAAAACUGGAAGCAAAGGGUGAUGUUAUCAAAGCUGCAGUUGGUGAUGGACUGAGACUAGUAGUUGUUGAAAUGCAGCUGAUGAUGUAAUGGCUAGUAGUUGUGGUGGUUUCUGCAGAUAAGUAGGUGUCUGAACCGAAGAAAGAUUGAAGCUAAGAUGGGUCUGUUGGUGGUGACUGAAACAUGAUACUGACAAGGAAUGGUUGGUAUUGUGCUGCCUGUUGUUGCUUAUAAAGCAAUGGUGGUAUUGAACUCUAGCUGGAGUUUAGAUGGAGCUUUUGUUAGAGAAGAAGAUGAUGGUGAUGAACAAGUUAAAGACAUGGAUGUGGAUCUAGUAGUGAUGAGUUAUAAUGAGCUGAGUUGCUAGGGAAAUGGUGUUGGUGAUAUUGCAGCUGUUGAUUUCGAAGGAACUGAAGAAGCAGGUGCUACUGCUGUAGUCCAAUUGAUGUUAAAUUGAGAUUGAAUGGUUGCAGAUAUGGAUUCGGUUGCUGCUAAUGGAAAUAUAAGAGAUAUGUAAUGAAACAACAGUUUCUGGUGAUCCUAAUGGUGAUUUAGGUCAGGGGAAUAAAGAGAUAAUGAUACUGGUGUUGAUUGUGCUGUGUCUUUGGGGUGCAGAUUAGAUGGCUUGUUUCAGUUGCAGAUGCUGCUGCAAUGGAAUUGGCCUGAGGUUGUUGUAUAGAACACUAGCCUGUGAUUUUUAUUGUGUAUGAUUGGUUUGAUAUGCUUUAUUUAUAUAGACUCAUUUAUUGUUUUCUUCAUUUCCUUUUACUAACAAAGCACUCCUUGCGUCAC